UCCCUGGUAGUAUAUCGGUUAGUACACGCGCCUGUCAUGGCUGUACCAUAAUCUGUGCGCGCGCGAAAGCGGGGUUCGACUCCCCGCCAGGGAG